UGAGGAAACAGGAAUACACAAGCACCAUCAGAGAGAGGCGAGGCCAAAUGCCACCCAAAGCUCCUUUUCCCCUUCUCUAGCCAAAGGUUAGAGACUCCAGGGCCUAGGAGGCUCCAGGGCUGCCAGCGAGUUCUCACGUCAUCUCCUCUCCUGGGAGGCCAGGCUCGGCGGCAGAGUGCCAGCCAUUCUCUGCUCCUUAUCCCCAUCACUGAAUAAUGAAUACCAGCUAAGUGAUGGGCUGGUGCCAGCGACCUCCUAGCAAAUCUUCCCCCUGGAGUUUGGAUCAAUAACACUUAGCUGCUCCUUUUCAACUUGAAGGUUUGGCCAGGAUGGGACCUGACUCCAGCAUCAAAGGAGACACCAUGUGACAAAGCCUCCCAAAGGUCCAUCCGUCACACCAUCUCUGCCUCCUCUGGUAUUCACAGCUCCCCAGCACCCUCCACAGCCAUGACUCAUAGAAGAGGGACAAAUCCUAUUACCUAGGACACAAUCUGAUGCCAAACUUCCUGACUUCAACUGACAAUCUAGCCUGGCUACAAAGAGAUAGAACAAAGAGAGGCACAGAGAUUUUUGUGUGGAUGGGGCUCUUAAUAGCUGAAGUCACUUCCUUUGUGCAGAAGCUCUGAGUGAGUUGAGAGUGAUUUUCCUGGUCCUAGGGACUCUAAUGUGCUCAUAAAAGGAGCAUGGGACUGCCCUCAUAUGCUGCUCAUUCCUGCUUCCUCCCUACUCCUCCACUGUUCCAGAUAAUCAUCAUUAAUCCAUUUCUCAACAAGCAUUACUAGAUUACUUUAGGCUGUCCUAGGCAUUAGGGAUACACUGGGGAGACAUCAGUCUAUAUAUUCAUGGAUCUUAUGGUCUUACUACAAGUAAGACCCAAAUGCCACAUACAUCUACAUGCACACUCAUACAGAGAAGACAAAUUCCCACAUUCCUGCCUCGGAAGUUGUUGUUAUCCAACCUUGAAUGUCUGCUCUUUCCUGCCAGCCCAUGCCUAGCCUAGGAGAUGUGUUCUCCAGAAUCCAGGAGUCCUUCCCUGUCUAAUUACAUGUGGAUCACUGCUCUGUGCACUCCACUGAGAUGCCGCGAUGCUGCAUCCACCCGGGGGCUCAAGUGUUUCUGGGACUAUCUGUGGUCUUUAGUUCUUCCCAGAAUUGUAGGUUUCCUGGCUUGACAGGACGUUCAAAUAGAGACCUGGGUUUGUUUUCCCUCGUGCUCUCAUCACUGUUUCAGAUAUAGCAGGUACUAUUUGCUGACCACACAGACCCUCUUCAUUCUGGCCAGAGGAUCCUAAUUUGGCUUUCACAGUCAUACUUUUCUCUGGGUCCAUCUCCUAGGGAAAGGUGCCCUUAUGUCUAUCCUCCUUCCUCAGAAGGGCAAGGCAUAGAUCUUGGUCUACAGUGGUCCCAUUCUCCUUCCAUCAUUGGGUUAAGAAGGGCCAUGUGACCUAGUCUUGGCCAAUGAGAUGUGAGAGGAAUGAUGAAGGAGCAUCAUCAACAACAACAACAACAAAGUAGAUUUUUAACUGAUAGAGACUCCUAUGAAGAAAUGGUCCCUGAUUACGUGUUGAAUAUACAUUAACCAACCUGAAACUGCCCCACCUACUUCCAAGAUUCUUGCUAUAUAAGUCAACAAAUUUAUGACUUAAUACAUCAUUUACUUAAGAUUCCUGUUCUUUGUAAUUGAAAACAUCAUAACUAUUUUUUAUAGGGUUCUGCCUAUCAGGUUCGCCUUGUGAGUAUUCUCUAGAUAAAUGUUGGGCACAGAGUGGGCAGGCAGCAGGCACAGGAACUGAGCUCACUGGACUGUUUGUAAGGAAUGUGAGUGGUCCAACACGGAAAGAAUACAGGUGUCCAGGUGUUUCUGAGGUCCGGUUCUCAUUCUGUCCCUGGUUGACUGACAGAAUGGAAUGUGGGAAACCAAGGUAUUAA